CGGACGAAGCGAACUACAUCGGGACGCUUUGGCCGCCGAGCGAAAAAAAAACACCAUUGAGCUCGACCUCAGAUCAGGUAGGAGUACCCGCUGAACUUAAGCAUAUCAAUAAGCCGGAGGAAAAGAAACCAACAGGAUUGCCCCAGUAGCGGCGAGUGAAGCGGCAAGAGCUCAGAUUUGAAAUCGUGCUAAUUUUUUUGGCACGAGUUGUAGAGUGUAGGCGGGAGUCUUUGUGGAGCACGGUGUCCAAGUCCCUUGGAACAGGGCGCCUGAGAGGGUGAGAGCCCCGUGGGGUGCCGUGCGAAGCUCUGAGGCCCUGCUGACGAGUCGAGUUGUUUGGGAAUGCAGCUCCAAGUGGGUGGUAAAUUCCAUCUAAGGCUAAAUACUGGCGAGAGACCGAUAGCGAACAAGUACUGUGAAGGAAAGAUGAAAAGCACUUUGAAAAGAGAGUGAAACAGCACGUGAAAUUGUUGAAAGGGAAGGGUAUUGGGCCCGACAUGGGGAGUGCGCACCGCUGUCUCUUGUAGGCGGCGCUCUGGGCGCUCUCUGGGCCAGCAUCGGUUCUUGCUGCGGGAGAAUGGGUGCCGGAAAGUGGCUCUUCGGAGUGUUAUAGCCGGCGCCAGAUACCGCGUGCGGGGACCGAGGACUGCGGCUUCUGUCUCGGAUGCUGGCACAACGGCGCAAUACCGCCCGUCUUGAAACAUGGACCAAGGAGUCUAACGUCUAUGCGAGUGUUUGGGUGUAAAACCCGUACGCGUAAUGAAAGUGAACGUAGGUC
rnacentral:rRNA from 1 species